CAUGGCUCAGUUCGUAAGAGCAUGGCACUAGCAACACCAGAGUUGUGGGUUCGAUUCCCACUG
rnacentral:tRNA from 1 species